CCUACGGGGGGCAGCAGUGGGGAAUAUUGGGCAAUGGGCGCAAGCCUGACCCAGCAACGCCGCGUGAAGGAAGAAGGCUUUCGGGUUGUAAACUUCUUUUGACAGGGAAGAGCAGAAGACGGUACCUGUCGAAUAAGCCACGGCUAACUACGUGCCAGCAGCAGGGGUAAUACGUAGGUGGCAAGCGUUGUCCGGAUUUACUGGGUGGAAAGGGCGUGUAGCCGGGCUGGCAAGUCAGAUGUGAAAUCCGGGGGCUCAACCCCCGAACUGCAUUUGAAACUGGUGGUCUUGAGUAUCGGAGAGGCAGGCGGAAUUCCUAGUGUAGCGGUGAAAUGCGUAGAUAUUAGGAGGAACACCAGUGGCGAAGGCGGCCUGCUGGACGACAACUGACGGUGAGGCGCGAAAGCGUGGGGAGCAAACAGGAUUAGAUACCCUAGUAGUC
rnacentral:rRNA from 1 species